GACCUUGUGGCGCAACGGUUGCGCGUCUGACUCCAGAUCAGAAGGUUGUGUGUUCAAGUCACAUCUAGGUCA
rnacentral:tRNA from 1 species